GUUACGCAGCUGCCAGGAGCAGCAGCGCCUGCGCCUUUUUGGCCGAUUACGGUACAGAAACUAAAGGUGGUUCUGAGAAAGCCCAUCACCCCUUCCAGAGAAACCGCGAUGCCAUGGGGCGGACCCCGCCUCCCUGCCCCAGCUGCCCUGGCCUGCACUCCCUAGGGGCCCCUUGUACUUUACAGAUGCUCUGACCGGUCUAAUCGGCCCCAGGCCGGGAGAGGCAGCAGAGCCAUUCGCAGGCCACGCUCUCUGCGCGGGUGCCCUGUGUGCUGCAGGGCUGAGGGCCAAGGCCGAGCCUCUCUCUGCUGUCCAGCCCAGCACAACGACCCUCGCCGGCCUUUGGGGUCUUAGAAUGCAGAUUCCCUGGGAGAGGGAAACUCGUUAAAUGACAAUCCCUCAGUAAAAAUGUGGUUGUGAGCUAAAUCCUUAUAGCCGGUGACGGGGUGACAAGCAGCAACUUCAUGGAAUCGGAAAGCGCGAAACUCCCAAGGUGAAAAAGCCGCUGGGAUGAUACAGAGCCUGCCUCCUGCUGAGAAUCAUCUUAGGAAUUAAAUAGCCCAUACAACAAUCUCAGAGCACCGAGCGGGUGCUGCCCCUAAGGGAACAUCAGUUUGGUCUCACUUGCCGAGGUUCCCUAUCCAGGCUGCCCUCCUGGGAAAAUGCAGUCCGGGGCCCUAGGGAGUGCAGCCCAGGGCGCGGGGACAGGGAGGCGGGGUCCGCCCUAUGGCAUCGCGGUUUCUCCGAAAGGGAAGAUGGGCUUUCUCAGAACCACCCUUAGUUUCUACACUGUAAUCAACCCCAGAUGUGGGGUCACCCAGUGCCAGCUCUGGGGUCACAGAGCUGGCCUCCCUGGUUAGGACCCUGCAGCCUUUAACUCCUUUGCCCCGUUCCUGUAAUCAUUAUGGGUCAGGACGGGCCUGCUGGCCUUGGGUGCAGACGCGGGGUGGGUGUGCAGCACAGGCUAGUGAAUCUGAACAUAACUUUGGAAGUUGAAUCUCAGCCAUCCGUGGCCCUUCAAGAGCCUGGGGAUGCUGGAGUGUCCCUGCCCUCUAGGAAGGUGGAGGUAAACUGAGGCUGUAGGCGUGCCUAAUGCAAACAUGUUUAAACCACAGAAUGGACAUGCUCCUGGGUCCUCCGGCUGAGAUGAGGUAACAGUGACCACCCACAGCCUCAUCGUGGAGCACCUUCUGUGCAGGCACUGAGCACACUCACAGAAAUGACAUGCUGCUCUGUGGGAAACUGAAGCCCAGGGAGGUUAAGUGCCCUGCCUAAGGUCACCUUUUGAGAGAGUUCAGUGUUAGUAAGAAGCCAUCUUUUGGCGGGGAGCGGUGGCUCACGCCUGUAAUCCCAGCACUUUGCACUUUGGGAG
rnacentral:lncRNA from 1 species